rnacentral:misc_RNA from 1 species
AAGUCGUAACAAGGUCUCCGUAGGUGAACCUGCGGAGGGAUCAUCAUUGAAAACAUAAUUUGACAAGAGGUUUUUGUUUUGGGACGAGGGAGGGGAUUGUGGAAACUCUGCAUCUCCGAGCUUUGACUGGGAUGGGGCCUCUUGACAAACAACCAAUCUUCAUGACUAUGAAACAUUGACACAGUGAUUUGGCUGGGGGUGGAUAAAAGUUCUUGUCUGACAAGUAGCUUGCUGAUUUGGAGCACAACAACUAAUACAACUUUCAACAACGGAUCUCUUGGCUCUCA